UCCCUCUUCUCUCCCGAUUCGCGCCGCCACCCUUCAGAUCCACCGCCGGCAACUCGCCCCCUCCACCCUCCGGCUAUCACGGCACCACGCCCACCCCCCUCCUCCACACUCAGGCCGAAGCCCAUCUCGCCGCCUCUCCCACGAAGAUCCGGCAGCGUGGCGCUCAUCUCGGAGUUCAUCUUGUCCCGGUCCAAGACCCUCCACCGAGCUGCUCAUCCACGCCCGCCGCCAUGCUCGCCCUCCCUGCCUCCCUUCCAUGUAGAUCCAUCUCGGUGUGCGGAGCUCCUUCCCCUACGUACCAAGCCGCCGUAGUACACUGCGUCACCGGCUGCCCCACGCCCGCCGACGUCCUCUGCCUCCUCUUCGUCUGUGGAGGAUUUUGACGCCUGGCUCGCCAAUAAGCUUCUGCAGAUCCUACGAGACGUAGUACAGAACUCGGGGUCACAAUUCAUAAGGGAAGGAGAAGGACUUAUGAUUAUCUACGCAGAAGGAGGAGACGUAGUACAGGUAUCUGCAAUUUUUUUGGAUUAUGUACGCAGCUUGCCUAGUUUCUUUUGCCUCUUGAUGAUUUGUAGCACAAGUGCAGUAGCUUUGCAGCACAAAUAACAACCUAGUUGGUAGAAUUAUUUUUAGUGUUGUUUGUGUUUUGUUUAAAGUUGCUAAGUUGUAUUGUUUCAGGCUAGCUUGUAAACAUAUCAGCAAUAUGUCUGACAGUUCUGGUACUAGUAAUUCUACCGAUGGGACCUUAGUGGUGUCCAAUACUAGGAGAUCAAAAGUCUGGAAGCAUUUUGAGCCAAAUUUGGUUUUCGUAGAUGAGAUUCCAAAGGCCGUCUGCUUGUAUUGUAGACUCAAAUUGACAAAUACUCAC